AAGGUGCUUCCACACAUUGUCAGUGCUCUAGUGAUUCUGAAAAUACCCAGGAACAAUUUCCAAAGCUCAGUGCAGUCCCAGGCUAACUGGGUCUGUCACAUAAGAGCUGGCCAUACAGCCGCUACACUGGUUGACAGUAGUUGUCAGCAACAGGUCCUCUCCUGAACUGGUGAAGACAGUUUAACUGGUGGUGCAGUUGGGACGUGGCCAUUUUCACUACCAAGAGGGAGAGCGUUAUUAAGAUAUGGUCUCAGCCUAAGUGAUUGUGCUUAAUUCACUUGGUCUCAGUCACACUCCCAUACUUGUGGCUUGGACUUGAGCCUGGAUGAUUCUUUCUGGGGCUCAGGUAAGAACUUGGACAAUCUUUCCCACGCUGCCCUCAGAAAUCCACUUUUUUUCUAUCACAUUCUCAGAAGUACCCUUAGGGCUUGUCUACACACAAAAGAAGUAUCAUUUCAACUAUACGUAUAUAGUUAAAGCAGUGCAGCCUGCCCCCCGGUGUGGAUGCUGAUAUACCAAUAUGACAAUGCUGUACCAGGAUAGCUGAUUUCUGUAAGGGAAGGAAAAUAAACUAUACCAGUAUCUGCAUCAACACUAGGGGUUGUACCAGUAUAACUAUUGUCCUAUAAUCACAGUAUAAUCACAGUCCUAACCAACAUUUCUUAUACUGGUACAAACCUAUGUGUAGACAAGGUCUUAGUACAGAGUACUGUGCAUUCUAGGGCCACAGAUUCCAAGCUCCAUAAGCAGGCAUUGACAGAAAAGAAUGUAGCAACUCCAAAGGAUUAAGGGCCCUGAAGAGCACACUAAUGAUACCGUUAUCUUCUCAGUGAUGUGUGGAUUAGAGCUAUCCUUGGCAGACUCUGCUAUGAUCAUACAUUGAAGAACAUAGGUUUUCAGUGACAUCUUUUAUGAUUUAUUUACAUAUUUCCAUAAAACAAUCAAGGGAAAUUUAACACACAAAACUCAUAUUAAAAAUUACAUUAAAGGUUUAGGUUAAAUGGCUGAGAGAUGAGGAUUUGCAGACUGCUCAACCCUUGAUACCGAAAGGCUUUGAGAAUAAUGUGAGAACAGAGAGGAAAUGUUAGAGCAGGACUGGAAUUCAGAAUUCCUGGGUUUUAGCUAUGACUGUACCACUAGUUCUUGCAUUGCUCAUUUACUACACAUUCCUAUGGAAAUCAGCAAGUGCUGUUGUGACAAAUGAAGGGGAGGAGGGGUAGCUCCCUUUAAUGGACCCAGUCAGUUAGCUAUAAAAUCCCUCUCAGUAGCUGUUCUCUACUUGCUUUACCUGUAAAGGGUUAAAAGUUUCACUGCAAUGCAUAGGUAAAAGGAAGUGAGUGGGCACCUGGCCCAAAGAGCCAAUGGGAAGGCUAGAACUUUUUAAAAUUGAAACAAGACUCCCCUUUUGUCUGUCUGUUGUUGUUCUCAUGGAGAAGCAGACACAGAGCAACUAUGCUAUAAGAAACUUGGGGCCAGGUAUGAAAAAUCAUCAGUAUCAUACCUAGAAACUAAUCAUUUGAAAUCCCAGAUAUGUAAGUAGAUCAGAAAGUUGCGAUUAGGUUUAUCUUUUUAUUUCUUUAUGGCUUGUGGAUUCCUCUGUGCAAACCCCAAAUGCUUUUGUUUUGCUUGUAACCUUUAAGAUGGACCUCAAGAAAGAUAUUCUUAAUGCUUAAUCCUUGCAAGAGUUUUUUUAAAUCUAGCAAUAGCCUGAGUUUCCAGGUGUAUUUUCUUUCUUUUUGUUUUUUAAUAAAAUUUACCUUUUUUAAGAACAAGAUUGUAUUUUUGUGUCCUAAGAGGUUUGUGCACAUGUUGUUUAAUUAGGUGGUGGCAACAGCCGAUUUCCUUUGUUUUUCUUUCUCAGCUCUUCCCCAGAGGGGGCGUGAAAGGGUGUGAAGGUACCCCACAGGAACGAAUUCCCAAAUGCGCUUUCCUGGGUUCUCAAAGGGGUUUUGCACUUGGGUGGUGGCAGCAUCUACCCAUCCAAGGUCAGA